rnacentral:rRNA from 1 species
GAUGAACGCUGGCGGCGUGCCUAAUACAUGCAAGUCGAGCGAACAGACGAGGAGCUUGCUCCUCUGACGUUAGCGGCGGACGGGUGAGUAACACGUGGAUAACCUACCUAUAAGACUGGGAUGACUUCGGGAAACCGGAGCUAAUACCGGAGAAUAUAUUGAACCGCAUGGUUCAAGAGUGAAAGGGGGUUUUGCUGUCACUUAGAGAUGGAUCCGCGCCGCAUUAGCUAGUUGGUAAGGUAACGGCUUACCCAGGCAACGAUGCGUAGCCGACCUGAGAGGGUGAUCGGCCACACUGGAACUGAGACACGGUCCAGACUCCUACGGGAGGCAGCAGUAGGGAAUCUUCCGCAAUGGGCGAAAGCCUGACGCAGCAACGCCGCGUGAGUGAUGAAGGUCUUCGGAUCGUAAAACUCUGUUAUUAGGGAAGAAAAAAUGUGUAAGUAACUAUGCACGUCUUGACGGUACCUAAUCAGAAAGCCACGGCUAACUACGUG